rnacentral:rRNA from 1 species
UACAGAGGUCUCAAGCGUUGUUCGGAUUCAUUGGGCGUGAAAGGGUGCGUAGGCGGCGCGGUAAGUCGGGUGUGAAAUCUUGGAGCUUAACUCCGAAACUGCAUUCGAUACUGCCGUGCUUGAGGACUGGAGAGGAGACUGGAAUUUACGGUGUAGCGGUGAAAUGCGUAGAUAUCGUAAGGAAGACCAGUGGCGAAGGCGGGUCUCUGGACAGUUCCUGACGCUGAGGCACGAAGGCCAGGGGGAGCAAACGGG